UACGUAGGGUGCAAGCGUUGUCCGGAAUUAUUGGGCGUAAAGAGCUCGUAGGCGGUUCGUCGCGUCGGCUGUGAAAUCCCGAGGCUCAACCUCGGGUCUGCAGUCGAUACGGGCGAACUGGAGUUCGGCAGGGGAGACUGGAAUUCCUGGUGUAGCGGUGAAAUGCGCAGAUAUCAGGAGGAACACCGGUGGCGAAGGCGGGUCUCUGGGCCGAUACUGACGCUGAGGAGCGAAAGCGUGGGGAGCGAACAGG
rnacentral:rRNA from 1 species